GGAGGCUGGACAGCAUGAGUCGAAGGCUCUAGAGAAGCUUCAGGGCAUGCCCACGUGGACUAGGACGGAAAAUAGUCCUUUUCAACCACAGAGAAAAGUGCAGCCUGCUCUUGCCAGUGUGGGGAGACAGAUCUUCCAGCUGGAUCACCCUUACUCCUCUUCAGGAUCGAAGGUAACAAGAUGCUUGGGAUGCAACUGCGUUAAUUAGGCUACUUCCUGCUCCCCAGCAGCCAGAAGAAGCUGAGAAAGGCAGAGUGUUUAUAUGCUUCUGAGGUAGUAUUCAUCCGUUGACUCACCGUGUGGACACUCAGGACCUUCCAUAGAGGCAGCUGGCCCUGGGCAGGUGUACAUAAUUAGUGUGUAUGUGCUAGCAAGGUACUCAGAAGGUACUGUUAGCAGGUCCCAUUAAAUCUUCCUAAAUUAGGGCCUUGACCUCUCAAUAACUUCCUUAUAUUUGUGUGAGUCCAUCUGCUUAGUCACAAUGUCAUUUUCAUGACAGGGCUUUUGCUCAGAGAAAGAUGAGGACAUGAAUGACAGUGGCUUACAUUCACCAGCAGCUAGAUUGCUAGGAAGAACUGAAACGUCAUCUUUCUUAACAAAACUCCCUUUAGGUAUUUUCCACCCUACCAGGUUUAAGCAAGUACAUUCAUUCACAAAUAUGAGGUGGUCAGGGUGGAGGUGAGGGGGUUGGCUUGGGACACAGGCAUUGGUGUACUCCUGUGACACAUUCACCCUACCUGCCUUUAUGUAGACGUAAAUCUAAUUAAGAUGAACAUCAACUGUGGUCUUUAAGGAGAAAGUCUCAAAAUGAUAGACAAUUCAAGGCAUGUGGGUGUGUAUAUGUGUGGGUACCAGGGGGCAGGGGAACCCCAUCAGCUUUACCUGUGGGCUAAGGUGACAAGAGAGAACACAGGCAUGCGUCCUUCUGACUCAUCUGAAAGAGUUCUUCGUGGGAUCCCUCCAGCUAACAAAUGGGCAAGCAUCUAGAGAUCUCGUAAAAACCAUGCCUGUUAAUUAAGGAACUGUUGACAAUGUCAGACCCUUCAUAAUAAUGUUAUGCACCUCUGAGCUUUGUUUGUUACAUAUUUUAAAAUAGAAACAUAGAAGUUCCACAAUUAUAACUUUUAAAGAGAUGUUCAAUAUUUUGAAGCCAAUAAAGUAUAGACAAG
rnacentral:lncRNA from 1 species